rnacentral:tRNA from 1 species
GCCCGGAUAGCUCAUUCGGUAGAGUGUUGGACUUUUAAUCUGCGGGUCCAGGGUUCGAGUCCCCGUUAGGGCG